rnacentral:lncRNA from 1 species
GAGAGCCUGGCACAGCCUUGCUGCCCUGCCCUGCUGGAUCACACAGGUGGCACAGGAUGCUCAUCCCUUGGGUGUCCCCCGUGUCCCUGCUGGGCUGCUUCACCUGCUCCCAGUGCGGAAUUCUUUGCUUUUCUCACCUGCCAGUUGCAGCUGGUGCUCUGGCAGUCAGAGCCUUCCUGGCACAGGGAUCUGGGGACAUAAAUUCCAGAUGAGCACCUUUGAUUCCCUCAGACAAUGAUAAUGCAGAGAUGAUUGACACCUACAGCUUGGGAAGAGAUGUGCUCAGCACUGAUCCCAGAGGAUGUGCCUUUCAGCAGGAAGCAGGAGAAGCAGAGCAGAUCCAUGUGCAGCCCCAGGUGUGUUCCAGGAGUUCUGGGAGCUGGGAAGAGCAUCUGUCUUUGAGCCAGGUCUGCUCCCAGAGGAGGUGGAGGACACGGCAGUGAAACUGGAUGUUGUGUUCUCACCAUAUAAGAGAGACUAAAAAUAGCUUGGAGGAGUUGUGGAAAAUCCUGUGUUCCUGAAGUAUCUUUUGAUGUCUCUUUAUCUCAGGAUAGGAUGGGAUUUUUUGGUUGGGAUUUUUUUGUUUUGUUUUGGUUUGGUUUUGUUUGGUUUGGUUUGUUUUUUGGGGAGG